UACGGGGGGGGCAAGCGUUGUUCGGAAUUACUGGGCGUAAAGGGUGCGUAGGCGGUUCGCUAAGUUGGAUGUGAAAACUAUGGGCUCAACCCAUAGCCUGCAUCCAAUACUGACGAACUAGAGUUCUGGAGGGGGUAGCGGAAUUCCUGGUGUAGCGGUGAAAUGCGUAGAUAUCAGGAGGAACACCGGUGGCGAAGGCGGCAUUCUGGACCGAAAUUGACGCUGAGGAGCGAAAGCCAGGGGAGCAAACGGG
rnacentral:rRNA from 1 species